rnacentral:rRNA from 1 species
ACACGUAAGUUGCGAGCGUUGUUCGGAAUUAUUGGGCGUAAAGGGCAUGUAGGCGGUUCUGCCAGUCUGGUGUGAAAUGCCGGGGCUCAACCCCGGAACUGCGUUGGAAACUGCGGAACUGGAGUCGCUGAGGGGCAGCCAGAAUUCCAGGUGUAGGGGUGAAAUCUGUUGAUAUCUGGAAGAAUACCAAUGGCGAAGGCAGGCUGCCAGCAGAUGACUGUCGAUGAGGUGCGAAGGUGCGGGGAGCAGACAGGAUUAGAUGCCCUGGUAGGCCGCAGAUUCAACUAUGUACACUGGGUUUACGUGCAUGAGCAUGGGUGCCGAAGCAAACGCGAUAAGUGUACCGCCUGGGGAGUAUGCCCGCAAGGGUGAAGCUCAAAUGAGUUGGCGGGG